rnacentral:rRNA from 1 species
AAGUCGGAUGUGAAAUCCCCGGGCUCAACCUGGGAACUGCAUUCGAAACUGGCAGGCUUGAGUCUUGUAGAGGGGGGUAGAAUUCCAGGUGUAGCGGUGAAAUGCGUAGAGAUCUGGAGGAAUACCGGUGGCGAAGGCGGCCCCCUGGACAAAGACUGACGCUCAGGUGCGAAAGCGUGGGGAGCAAACAGGAUUAGAUACCCUGGUAGUCCACGCCGUAAACGAUGUCUACUUGGAGGUUGUGCCCUUGAGGCGUGGCUUCCGGAGCUAACGCGUUAAGUAGACCGCCUGGGGAGUACGGCCGCAAGGUUAAAACUCAAAUGAAUUGACGGGGGCCCGCACAAGCGGUGGAGCAUGUGGUUUAAUUCGAUGCAACGCGAAGAACCUUACCUGG